rnacentral:rRNA from 1 species
AUUGAACGCUGGCGGCAUGCUUUACACAUGCAAGUCGGACGGUAACAGGCCUUCGGGUGCUGACGAGUGGCGCACGGGUGAGUAAUGCAUCGGAACGUACCCAGAGGUGGGGGAUAACGCAGCGAAAGCUGUGCUAAUACCGCAUGUGAUCUGAGGAUGAAAGCGGGGGACCGAGCAGCAAUGUUUGGCCUCGCGCCUUUGGAGCGGCCGAUGUCGGAUUAGCUAGUUGGUGGGGUAAAGGCCUACCAAGGCGACGAUCCGUAGCUGGUCUGAGAGGACGACCAGCCACCCUGGGACUGGGACACGGCCCAGACUCCUACGGGAGGGAGCAGUGGGGAAUUUUGGACAAUGGGGGGAAGCCUUAUCCAGCAAUGCCGCGGGCGGGAAGAAGGCCUUCGGGUUGGAAACCGCUUUUGGCAGGAACGAAACGGUGUCCGCUAAUACCGGGCGCUAAUGACGGUACCUGCAGAAUAAGCACCGGCUAACUACGUG